GGGCACUGUCUUCAAUUGAAAC
rnacentral:miRNA from 8 species